rnacentral:rRNA from 1 species
UACGUAGGGGGCUAGCGUUGUCCGGAAUCAUUGGGCGUAAAGAGCGUGUAGGCGGCUUUACAGGUCCGUUGUGAAAACUCGAGGCUCAACCUCGAGACGCCGGUGGAAACCGUAAAGCUAGAGUCCGGAAGAGGAGAGUGGAAUUCCUGGUGUAGCGGUGAAAUGCGCAGAUAUCAGGAGGAACACCCGUGGCGAAAGCGGCUCUCUGGGACGGUACUGACGCUGAGACGCGAAAGCGUGGGGAGCAAACAGG